GCCGAGGCGCGGAGCGGUGCGGGUGGCUCCUCUGGCUCUGCCGCGGCCGCGCCGCCGCCCUCGCUCCCUUAUGGAAGAGAUGGAAGAGGAGCUGAAAUGCCCGGUGUGCGGCUCCUUUUACCGGGAGCCCAUCAUCCUGCCUUGCUCGCACAACCUGUGCCAGGCGUGCGCCCGCAACAUCCUGGUGCAGACGCCGGAGUCGGAGUCGCCGCAGAGCCGGCGCGCCUCGGGCUCGGCCGUCUCCGACUACGACUACCUGGACCUGGAUAAGAUGAGCCUCUACAGCGAGGCGGACAGCGGCUACGGCUCCUACGGCGGCUUCGCCAGCGCUCCCACCACCCCCUGCCAGAAGUCCCCCAACGGCGUCCGCGUCUUCCCGCCGGCCGCCCCGCCGCCCCCCGCCGCCCUGGCCCCGCCGCCGCCGCCGCGCAACGCCUGCCUCACCUGCCCGCAGUGCCACCGCAGCCUGGUGCUGGACGAGCGCGGGUUGCGGGGUUUCCCCCGCAACCGCCUGCUGGAGGGCGUCAUCGACCGCUACCAGCAAGGCAGGGCGGCGGCUCUGCGCUGCCAGCUCUGCGAGAAGGCGCCCAAGGAGGCGGCCGUCAUGUGCGAGCAGUGCGACGUCUUCUACUGCGAUCCCUGCCGCCUGCGGUGCCACCCGCCGCGGGGACCGCUGGCCAAGCACCGCCUGGUCCCGCCGGCCCAGGGUCGCGUCAGCCGCCGCCUCAGCCCCCGCAAGAUCUCCACCUGCACCGACCACGAGCUGGAGAACCACAGCAUGUACUGCGUGCAGUGCAAGAGCCCCGUCUGCUACCAGUGCCUGGAGGAGGGCAAGCACUCCAGCCACGAAGUCAAGGCCCUGGGCGCCAUGUGGAAGCUCCACAAGAGCCAGCUUUCCCAGGCCCUGAACGGGUUGUCAGACAGAGCCAAGGAAGCAAAAGAGUUCCUGGUCCAACUCCGCAACAUGGUUCAGCAAAUCCAGGAGAACAGCGUGGAGUUCGAGGCCUGCCUGGUGGCCCAGUGUGACGCUCUCAUCGACGCCCUCAACAGAAGGAAAGCCCAGUUGCUGUCCCGGGUCAACAAGGAGCACGAGCACAAGCUAAAGGUGGUGCGAGACCAGAUUUCUCACUGCACGGUCAAGCUGCGCCAGACCACGGGCCUGAUGGAGUACUGCCUGGAGGUCAUCAAGGAGAAUGACCCCAGCGGCUUCCUGCAGAUCUCCGACGCUCUCAUCAGGAGAGUGCACUUAACUGAGGACCAGUGGGGAAAGGGGACGCUCACACCCCGGAUGACCACGGACUUUGACCUGAACCUUGACAACGCCCCUCUGCUACAGUCCAUCCAUCAGCUCGACUUCGUGCAGAUGAAAGUUUCCUCCCCAGUGCCGGCCCCCCCGAUCCUGCAGCUAGAGGAGUGUUGCACCCACAACAACAGUGCUACCUUGUCCUGGAAGCAGCCCCCCUUGUCGACGGUACAGGUGGAAGGCUACAUCCUGGAGCUCGAUGACGGCAACGGCGGCCAGUUCAGGGAGGUGUACGUGGGCAAGGAGACCAUGUGCACGGUGGACGGGCUUCACUUCAACAGCACGUACAGCGCACGUGUCAAAGCCUUCAACAAAACAGGAGUCAGCCCCUACAGCAAGACCUUGGUCCUCCAGACCUCUGAGGGUAAGGCGUUGCAACGGCUCCAGCCCGACACGCUCAAACACUGCUCACACGCACGCGUGGGGCCCGUCCAGCACACCCAAGCUUAGCAUUGCAAUACAGGGAACCGCUCCGCUGGUCCUCCAGUACCUCAGCAAUCACUGCAGGAAAGCCAGCGCUGACGGGAGGGGAAAGGUUAUGUCAGGAGCCUUGAACAGUGCCAGAAUUUCCCUCUCACCCCUUUCCUUUGCCGAAGAUGUUCUUUGGGGAGGUACAAUGAGAGGCAUCCUGCAGAAAGGUAUUUAAAAUUUGGUUGCAGCAGGGUUUGUAUUGCACAAAGGGAAGCUCAGAUGUUUUCAUUCAUUCUAUUUAAAACAAAACAACACUGUCAACGUUGCUCCUGAGACACUAAGGGCUGUGCAUCGCUGCACAAUGCCAUAACCACACGACAUCUCCUUCAGCCCCUGGCAGUCUAUGACAGAGAGCAGAGGGACCGUGGAGCUGCACAAGUGUCCUUACAGACCCGCGGGGUGUACAGCCAAUCACACCGGCAUCACCCCCACAUCUGGCAGGCGCUCAGUUAGACUAUUAAAUACUCCCUUGCAGGUUGCAGAAGAGUCUCCCCGCCCAACUUUAAGUACAUUUAUCACACCAGGCACUUAAUCCGUCGUGGAAAAUUGGUUUGCUUCUGACAUGCAGGUGGAGAGUCGUAAGGCUAGCUCCAAGAAACAAGGUGGGAGUCAGAAGCAGCGGGCGAUGGAGCCGUGAAGGAAGGAAUCAGCCCCCACCAGCACGUCUGCCACCCCAUAGCCUUGCUGCGAGGCGAGAAACCCCUCCUUGGGAGUUUUCCACGCUCAGUGGAAUCCCUUUUCCUUAAUCCCAGACUAAAAUCUCUCUUUCCCAAGCCACUUGAAGAUUUUGUUUCACGGCAGCAUUACCAGACCUGGCUGGCAGCUGGCUCAAGAGCAGCAGUGUGUUCCUGCAGCCCCAGCUGCUGCCGGCAGACACAGUCUGGGGUCAGGAGGGAACAAACACAGCUCGUGGGGCUGCUGGCGUGGCGGAAGGAAGGUGGGAGCCUUCUUGCCACAGAGCAUCUCUGGUGGCUUUGAGCAAGGAGAAAAAAGGGUUUUCUGCUGAAAACUGAUUUACGGAUAGAAGCAGAGCAAGGUUAUGCAGAGCGUUUUCACUUGCUUGCCUGCACUCAUCUGCAGGAGAUAACUGUUCCAGUUCGGAAAGGACACGUGCCGGGUUUGAACGUGUGGGCAGGACAGGCUGGAAAGGAAUAGGACUCACGUAUGACAGGUGGAGUGGGGAGCAAACCUAUGAUAAACCUUUCUCAUACAAGAGGCAAAAAAACUCAAAUCAUAGGCCACAAAGGCCUUGGCACGUCUGUCUGAGAGCUACGUGCAUGUUUGCGAAGCUGGACGUCAUCAUCAAGGAAGCUGCAGCGUUCCUCUGGAGAUGCAGGGAUGCGACAACCCAGAUCCAGCCCCGCACAGGGGUGGCCAGGACCAUUCCCAAAGCCUGAAGGUCAACAGUUCUCACUCACUUCACUACCUGCCUUCACCAGCCUUUGUAGGAGAGAGCAGAGCUUUGGCUUCUCAUCACAUUUGUGUCUUGUAAGAACCAUUUGAGACAGUUUCCUAACCAAAACCAGCUGGGCCUUAAGUUGUCCAAGCCAGGAGUUUGCAGGGGGGGACCCUUUCUCUUGGUCUUUCCUCAUCCAGCAGAUUUUCCAGCCUCUGGCCAGUCUCCUGCUGACUUCUUUGGGACCUGGUCUGUUGUCCUCCUGGCACGUUCCCAUUUUCACCCUACCCAGGGUGGGUUGUUCCUUGGUGCAUUCAUGGCUGUGGCGAGAGCAGCUUCUGAGAGGCUUUGCAGAAGCCCCUGGCUCUGGUCUACUGGUCAUGGUGGGAUGCAAAUGGUCGUUCCCAGGAACAGGCACCUAAUGCACGGUGGCAAGGAACAGAGGAGGAGACCUCCCCGUUGCAGUGGGAUUAGAGUCUGCAGGUGAGCUGGCUGCUGGGCUGCUUUUCUCUACAAGGAUUUCUGAAAUGGCUUCUGAGUCCCUCCGGUGUUGUUUCUUUCCGUGGGCUGUCCAACAAGCUGGAUGGUGGGAUGAAGGACCAACUGGCCCCAGGUGGAGAUGGAGAAGAGAUGCUCAGCAGUGCUGGAGGGGACUGUCCCUGCCUGCUCCCCAGGCCCAGAUCUGCGCUCCUGGCUGGUGCAGAGGUUCGACCUCCCUCCUGCCAAAACCUGCUGCUCGUUCUCACCCUUCCCCAGGUCUCUUUGCCCACACCUUGGCCCUUCCAUUGGGCUGCUUCGUGCCUUCAGCCACGCUCUCCUGGGCACGUGCUGCCUGCAGCCAUGCGCUGAGAGCCAGCAUGGGGGAAGAGCCAUGUCUCCGCUCCCCCUUCUCUCAGCUGCUCCGAGUCUCCAGUUUUAGGCAUGGCUGCAGAGUUUCAAGGCAAGCCUGCUUUUGGCUUCUUGUAUCUUUGGUGAGACACGAGCCUAGAAGCAGAGGAUCGGGGAGGAACACCUGGCUUGUCACACUCUGUGUCCUGCCAUCCCCUCCCACGGGUUCCCAAACUUGGCCGACUCUGCCAGCACCACCAGCAGCCGCUCCCGGCCACCUCUGCCACCCUGGGGAUGUGGCAAAGGGGCUUGGGCACCACAGCCUGAGAGCCCUUCCCCAGCCUAGUCAAGCACCAGAAGGUUUUAUCUUCUUUCAAGCCCAGUUCCUCAUCUGGGCCCCAGCUUUAAGUUCCUUACCAGCCGUGGAGUGACCUGCAGCAACAACCAGGGCUUUUUAACCGGCAGCUUUUGGAAAGGGGUGAACAACACAAGGGGAGAUACGCUGCAAGGAGCUAUAGGAACAUAAGAUGCUCGUUAGGGAGAGCCAUCAGCCCAGGUAGUAGUUCCUCUCACUCUUGGUAGAUGUUAGAGGGCACGUCCCUCCCUAACCUUGAGCUCCAUUUAUUGACCUGUUGUGCAAUAAUUUAUCUAACCCGUGCCUGAACCCGCUGACACUCUUUGCUUCCACAGCCUCGCGCAGCAGCAAGUUGCAGAACUUACAAUCCACUGUGCAAAGAAAUGCUUGCUUUUAUCUGUUUUAAUGUGAUUUCCAGCUCAAUCCAUAUUUACAGCUGAGACAGGAAGGCUGGGGAUACAGUGUCCAGGAGUUUACCUGGUUUGAAUGUGUGGAGGAUGGUGGAUCCUACAUUUUCAUGUUAAUAUAUCCCUUGACAAGGCUAGGGAAGAAAUUGCAGAAGAUGACCAUUUGUGGUAGCGGGGAACGGAAACCAAUGACCUGAGAGGUUCCCUCUACUCUGACAUUUUGCUGUGAAUCACAUGAGUUAAAUUCUUACUGUAAGGCUCAGAUGUGUUUUGACAGGUACAAAGGGAUACCAAGAACACAACAUCCCGAACAACCUUUGAGUAAGGUGGGUGCUUGGUGGUACUUAGGGUAAUAUAGCUUAGUACAGCUCUGCAAAAUGCCUUUCAGUGUUACCAACCAACUAGUUUUUACGCCACUAAUUAUUGUGCACAAAAAGGUAUGAGAUUUAUUAAAGAACAAUGGGAAGUGUGCAUGGUAA